GCAGUUUGUAAGAGAGAAUCCUCCAGAAGUCUGGGAGGACUUAAAGGACGAGUUGGUAUCCCGAUUCCGUGCAGUAGGUGGGCAAUACGAGCGGCUGCGGGCGUUGAAUGAGCGACGGCAAGAACCUGGAGAAUCGGUGGAAGAUUACUUUCGAGCGAUGCGGAGGCUGGCUGCAAGACUGAUCACCCCAAUAGCAGAUUCUGAGAUGGUCAGAGUCGUCAAGAAGGGACUCGAGGAGGAGAUCGCUCGUUAUGUGUACGCGAUCCGAGUCCGAAACCUGGAGCAGCUGAGGGAAGAGUGUGUAGAGGUGGAGUACCUUUUCCGCAGACGCGAGCGAAGGUCAGCUUUUCGCCCAACGCUGAAGUUCCAACAAUCCGGUAAGCGAGUGGAGGAGAUCGAGCCAGAGUCGGAGGAGCUGUUGGAAGGAGAGGAAGAGGUGAUGGUUGAGGAAACCCACCUGACAGCGAAGCCGAGGCUGGGCUGCUGGAAUUGCGGAGAAGUUGGCCACGGGUUUCGAGAGUGUAUGGCCAAGGAACGCAGAG
rnacentral:lncRNA from 1 species